rnacentral:rRNA from 1 species
GACGAACGCUGGCGGCGUGCUUAACACAUGCAAGUCGAGCGGAAAGGCCACUUCGGUGGUACUCGAGCGGCGAACGGGUGAGUAACACGUGAGUAAUCUGCCCCUGGCUCUGGGAUAGCCACCGGAAACGGUGAUUAAUACCGGAUACGACCACUUCUCGCAUGGGAUGGCGGUGGAAAGUUUUUUCGGCCAGGGAUGUGCUCGCGGCCUAUCAGCUUGAUGGUGAGGUAAUGGCUCACCACGGCUUCGACGGGUAGCCGGCCUGAGAGGGUGACCGGUCACACUGGGACUGAGACACGGCCCAGAGUCCUACGGGAGGCAGCAGUGGGGAAUAUUGGACAAUGGGCGGAAGCCUGAUCCAGCAACGCCGCGUGAGGGAUGACGGCCUUCGGGUUGUAAACCUCUUUCAGCAGGGACGAAGCGCAAGUGACGGUACCUGCAGAAGAAGCACCGGCCAACUACGUGCCAGCAGCCGCCGUAA